CGAAAUUCAGAUGCCAUUAAUUAUGAAGUUGAAUCACAUUAAUCAGAUAAUCUGAUUGAACAGGAAUCGUUAACAUAGCAAAAAGGUUAGUAAUGUUUUUAUGGGAGUAAUAUUUAUUGUUCAACAUGUGAAUAAUUAAUAAAUUUGGAUAGUAUUUUGCUAUAAUUGCAUAAUUUAACAGAAAUAGAUAUAUAAUUGUAUAAACAUAAAAUAUUUAUAAAUAUGAAUUAGUUAUUUAUUUUAAUAUUGUGAUAUGCUGCUUUUGUGUACAUGAGUAGCUCGUUCUACCAUGCCGCAGCAGGGAAGUUAUGUAACUGAAAGGAAUUGAUGAGAUACGUGAAGGGGUACCUGUGUGAUGAGGUUCAAGCCCCGAAUUUUAUGGGCUUGAUUAACUUUUUAUGUGUACUAAUCAGCAUCCUAGAUCAUUUUGUCUAUAGGAUAUUUUCAUGCUAUAUUUGGUGGGAAUGCUACCCACAAUUGCAGGAGGUGAAAAUGCUAUUGCUUUGGGCCGAUGAUUGAAGGCCCCAACCUACAACAAAGCUCUCAGGGAUGGCCGGCACUACAAAUAGGCUUAGCCAAGCUCAGUUGAGCUCCUUAAUUCGCAAGAUAUGUAAACUACAACUGAAAAAUUUAUUGGUUGAGCAUAAAUAAUAAAUUGGGGAAGCC
rnacentral:lncRNA from 1 species